UACGAAGGGGGGCUAGCGUUGCUCGGAAUGACUGGGCGUAAAGGGCGCGUAGGCGGUUUGUACAGUCAGAUGUGAAAUUCCUGGGCUCAACCUGGGGGGCUGCAUUUGAUACGUAUGGACUGGAGUGAGGAAGAGGGUCGUGGAAUUCCCAGUGUAGAGGUGAAAUUCGUAGAUAUUGGGAAGAACACCGGUGGCGAAGGCGGCGACCUGGUCCUUUACUGACGCUGAGGCGCGAAAGCGUGGGGAGCAAACAGG
rnacentral:rRNA from 1 species